rnacentral:other from 1 species
ACGGUUAUAAAUCAAAAUAUUGAUUUAUAAGCAUGGAAAUCCCCUGAGUGAAACAACGAAUUGCUGUGUGUAGUCUUUGCCCAUCUCCCACGAUGGGCUUUUUUUUAA